CCUACGGGUGGCAGCAGUGAGGAAUAUUGGUCAAUGGGCGGGAGCCUGAACCAGCCAAGCCGCGUGAGGGAAGAAGGUACAGCGUAUCGUAAACCUCUUUUGUCAGGGAACAAAGGCGGGGACUAGUCCCCGGAUGAGGGUACCUGAAGAAAAAGCAUCGGCUAACUCCGUGCCAGCAGCCGCGGUAAUACGGAGGAUGCGAGCGUUAUCCGGAUUUAUUGGGGUUAAGGGGUGCGCAGGCGGCCUGUUAAGUCAGCGGUAAAAGCCCGGGGCUCAAGCCCGGCGAGCCGGUGAAACUGGCGGGCUGGAGUUGGAGAGAAGUACGCGGAAGGCGCGGGGGAGCGGUGAAAUGCUUGGAUAGCGCGCAGAAGCGCGAGUGCGAAGGCAGCGUACCGGCUCCACACUGAGGCUGAGGCACGAAAGCGUGGGUAUCGAACAGGAUUAGAGACCCUUGUAGUC
rnacentral:rRNA from 1 species